GAUGAACGCUGGCGGCGUGCUUAACACAUGCAAGUCGAACGCAGUGCUUUAGCUUCGGUUGAGGCAGCUGCGUGGCGGACGGGUGCGUAACACGUAGGAACUUGCCCCAGAGAGGGGGAUAACCGUUGGAAACGACGGAUAAUCCCGCAUACGCUCCUUCGGGAGAAAAGCUCCGGCGCUCUGGGAUGGGCCUGCGGCCUAUCAGGUAGUUGGUGGGGUAAUGGCCUACCAAGCCUACGACGGGUAGGGGGCGUGAGAGCGUGGCCCCCCACACGGGAACUGAGACACGGUCCCGACGCCUACGGGCGGCAGCAGUGAGGAAUCUUGCACAAUGGGCGAAAGCCUGAUGCAGCGACGCCGCGUGCGGGAAGAAGGCC
rnacentral:rRNA from 1 species